UCUGCUGACACCAACUCACAGAUCUGCUCACUUAACUGGGUGGAGGCCACCAGAAUCCUGGUGACCGGGCAUGGGCGCCCCCAUAACAGCGCCAUUUGUUGGGAUUGGAAUUUCCCCUCACUCAGGCCUCUUUUGCACCUUUCAGGUCAUUCAAGUCGUAUUCUGCACGUGUCCUUGAACAAGGUCGGGAGCCAGCUCUUCACUGCAGGUGCCGAUCAGCGUCUUCAUGUGUGGAACAUGCCAUUUCCCACAUCUCAGCAUUGUUAAGAACGUACGCUUAAAACAUGCGGUCAACACAUCACCAUUGCUGCAACGCGGCAAAUGCACAGUUCUCGUUCACACUUGCAGUCCACUGACAAAACCACCUUUGUGGCAAAAGACUCGCAGACUUCUAGCCCCUGAGAACCACCUUUUAUUUUAACUAUUAGUAGUAAAUAAAUAAAUGCAUCGGUGAAAAU